UGCCAGCCGCCGCGGUAAUACGGAGGGGGCUAGCGUUGUUCGGAAUUACUGGGCGUAAAGGCGCGCGUAGGCGGGCUGGUCAGUUGGGGGUGAAAUCCCAGGGCUCAACCCUGGAACUGCCUCCAAAACUACUAGUCUUGAGUUCGAGAGAGGUGAGUGGAAUUCCGAGUGUAGAGGUGAAAUUCGUAGAUAUUCGGAGGAACACCAGUGGCGAAGGCGGCUCACUGGCUCGAUACUGACGCUGAGGUGCGAAAGUGUGGGGAGCAAACAGGUUUAGAUA
rnacentral:rRNA from 1 species